rnacentral:rRNA from 1 species
GACGAACGCUGGCGGCGUGCUUAACACAUGCAAGUCGAACGGAAAGGCCCUGCUUUUGUGGGGUGCUCGAGUGGCGAACGGGUGAGUAACACGUGAGUAACCUGCCCUGGACGUGGGGAUAACUUCAGGAAACUGGGGCUAAUACCGGAUAGGAGCUCCUGCUGCAUGGUGGGGGUUGGAAAGUUUCGGCGGUUGGGGAUGGACUCGCGGCUUAUCAGCUUGUUGGUGGGGUAGUGGCUUACCAAGGCUUUGACGGGUAGCCGGCCUGAGAGGGUGACCGGCCACAUUGGGACUGAGAUACGGCCCAGACUCCUACGGGAGGCAGCAGUGGGGAAUAUUGCACAAUGGGCGGAAGCCUGAUGCAGCAACGCCGCGUGCGGGAUGACGGCCUUCGGGUUGUAAACCGCUUUCGCCUGUGACGAAGCGUGAGUGACGGUAAUGGGUAAAGAAGCACCGGCUAACUACGUG